rnacentral:lncRNA from 1 species
GUUUUUAUUUCAACAUUUUUCGCCGGAUACAUUUUCACUCACCACUGAGAAAGUAAAACUUUUCCACAGACCUAUUCACAACAAAUCACCAGCUGAGACAACCUGUGGAUAGGAUUAAAUCCAGACAUUUGUGUUGUAAACACUUUUCACAAGUUAAAUGACAUACAAAUAACAAAAAUACUCCACCUUUUAUUGCAAAUUUAUUCCAAAUUUAAAAUCGAUUUUUAACAAAUAAGAUAAAUUCCAAAUUAAUGUCACAUUGUCACAAAUGUCACCAAUACACAUUUUUUCCACCAGUUUUGUGUAUUCCUUUCUGUUUGUGUAUUCACUUUUGUAGAUAUCCUGUGAGUGCACUGCUCUUAGGCUUAAGGAAAAAGCUCUGGUUAGUUAGUAUAAGGUGAGGAAGGAUUUUCCGUUGCAUGCUGAAAUCUUCGUUGUAAAUCCUCAAGAUGGUCGCGAUCGGUAGGAAAGGUUUCAGGAUUAAGACAGGGUAACAAAAAAUUAAAUAACGGGAUUAUAGGAAGGAAUGCGUAUGUUCGAUAUAUAUAUACAAAUGUACAGAUAUUUAUUUUUCUACGGGAAAAUAUCGUAGGAAAGAAGAAUUGAUUUUUUCCAUUUACCGUGAUUUUAAUAAGAAUUAAAAAAGGUAUUUUACAGUACACACAUGCAAGGUAAACAGUUUUAUGAAAAGCAACGUGAAUAUAUUUAGCUAUUCUAAUACACCACUAAUGCACGUGCGUUCAUGGCAACGUUCGCGCAUGAUGAAAAAAAAAAAUGAAUGGAAAAAUAAAAGAAAACAUGUUAACAAAGUGAAAGGUAAAAAGCUAAAAAGGAAAUGUGAUGUAACAUACCUUUGGAUAAACUAGCAAGGGAUAGGCAGGUUGGUUGACAGUAAAUAUAACACACAAGAAUACACAGCCAGGGAAAAGAUGCAAUUAGGUGAGCAGUGCGGGAAUAUAA